GAUGAACGCUGGCGGCGUGCCUAAUGCAUGCAAGUCGAGCGAACAGACUAGGAGCUUGCUCCUCUGACGUUAGCGGCGGACGGGUGAGUAACACGUGGAUAACCUACCUAUAAAACUGGGAUAACUUCGGGAAACCGGAGCUAAUACCGGAUAAUAUAUUGAACCGCAUGGUUCAAUAGUGAAAGACGGUUUUGCUGUCACUUAUAUUUGGAUCCGCGCCGCAUUAGCUAGUUGGUAAGGUAACGGCUUACCAAGGCAACGAUGCGUAGCCGACAUGAGAGGGUGAUCGGCCACACUGGAACUGAGACACGGUCCAGACUCACACGGGAGGCAGCAGUAGGGAAUCUUACGCAAUGGGCGAAAGCCUGACGGAGCAACGCCGCGUGAGUGAUGAAGGUCUUCGGAUCGUAAAACUCUGUUAUUAGGGAAGAACAAAUGUGUAAGUGACUAUGAACGUCUUGACGGUACCUAAUCAGAAAGAAACGGCUAACUACGUG
rnacentral:rRNA from 1 species